UACGGGGGGGCAAGCGUUGUUCGGAAUUACUGGGCGUAAAGGGCUCGUAGGCGGCCAACUAAGUCAGACGUGAAAUCCCUCGGCUUAACCGGGGAACUGCAUCUGAUACUGGAUGGCUGAGUUCGGGAGAGGGAGUGCGGAAUUCCAGGUGUAGCGGUGAAAUGCGUAGAUAUCGGAGGAACACCGGUGGCGAAGGCGGCAUCGUGGACCGGCACGUCGACGCUGAGGAGCGAAAGCCAG
rnacentral:rRNA from 1 species